rnacentral:rRNA from 1 species
GUAAAUAAAAAAAUUUGGCGGUAUUUUAGACCAUUUAGAGGAACCUGUCCUGUAAUUGAUAUUCCACGAUUUGAAAAACUUAUUUUUAUAGUCUGUAUAUCGCCGUAGUUAAAAUGUUUUAGGAGAAUUUAUAAAUGUUUAUGAUUUAAUAUGGAUAAAGGAAAGCAGGUCAAGGUGUAGCUUAUAAAUAAGGAGAGAUGGGUUACAAUAAAUUUAUUUAUACGAAUAGGUAUAUUUAAUUAUACUUUGAAGGUGGAUUUGAGUGUAAUUUUAUUAAAAUAAAUAUAAUGAUUUAGGCUCUGGAAUAUGUACAUAUCGCCCGUCGCUUUCACUCUAAAGUGGAAUAAGUCGUAACAUAGUAGGUGUACUGGAAAGUGUACCUGGAAAGUACAAACUAGAGCUUUAAUAAGUAUUUUAUUUACACUAAGAAGUUUAUUGUGAUAACGAUAUAGUUUGAUUUUAAUUUAAUUAUUGAGUUGGAUUUUUUUUGAAUUUCUUUUGAUAUAUAGAUAUGUGUUUUAUUAUAAAUUAAGAAAUAAUUAAUAUAUAAUUAUAGUUUAUUAGUAUUGUGAAAGAAUUUGUGUAAAAUUUACUAAGAAAUAUUAAGUAUAUGUACCUGGGUAUCAGGGUUUAUUAAAAAAAAAAUAAAAAUAAUAAUUUCCCGAAUUUAAAGAGCUAUUAAGGUAUAAGUAUUACUGUGGAAUAAUUAUUCUAAAUAAUUUAAUGGAAAUGAAACGUUAUUCGAUUUUAAAGAUAUCUGGUUUUUCGAGAAAUGAAUUUAAUUCAAUUUUUUGUUUAUUUUGAAUACAUUUUUUUGUGUAUAAAAUACGAAGAUUAAAUAUUAAAAGGGAUAAGCUUUUUGAUAAAUAUAUUAAAAAUAAUUAGUUUAUUAAGUUUAUUAAUAAGUAGGAUUAUAGGUUUCUUUCUUUUUUAAUGUGUUGUAACUAUUUAAAUAAUAAAUAAGAUUUUUAUUUAAUUUUAAAUUUUCUAUUGAAGAAUUCUAUUUAAUAUGAUAUUAGAAUAUAUAAUGAUAAAAUUAGUAUAAGACACAAGAAAAAUAAUAAAAGUUUAAAUUAUUAAAUGAGAGGUAGAAUAAAGGAAUUCGGCAAAAAUUUUUCUUACCUGUUUAUUAAAAACAUGGCUUUUUGAUUUUAAUUUAAGGUCUGGCCUGCCCAAUGAUUUACGGAUUAAAUGGCCGCGGUAAUUUGACCGUGCAAAGGUAGCAUAAUCAUUAGUUUUUUAAUUGGAAGCUGGAAUGAACGGUCGGAUAAGGAAAAAACUGUCUCUGUUUUAUUUUUUUUGAAAUUUAUUUUUAAGUAAGAAAGCUUAAAUUAAUCUAGAAGACGAGAAGACCCUAUAGAGUUUUACAAUUUUUUUUUUUAGAUUUUUAAGUAUUAAU